rnacentral:lncRNA from 1 species
CUGUGCGCCAACUCUGGGUUCCGCGCUCCCCCGCGGUCCGCGUGCGACUUUCUGACAGCCGUCGAAAGAGUGGCCAUGACUCCAUAGUCGAAAGACCUACACACACCAAUCACACGCCUGGCUCACUGUCCGCACCAGUGCUUCGAGGGCGGCCACGUCCUCGUGGUCAAAGCCGUUCUGUGACUCGCAGUCAAUGUCGAGGACGCCAAUGAUUACAUCAUCUCCAUCACCGCGCCCACCCCAGGCGCGGACAAGGUCCUCAGGGCCGUCGCCCUUAAGAGCUGCCUGAGCUGCGUCAGAGAGCGAGGUGCGCGGCACGACGAUCGGCACGACGAUCUCCGACUGCGAGAGCGAGUCGCAUGCAAUGUGGCCCGCUAGCUUGUGUCAGUAUCGCGCCACCCGUCUACGCACGGUAUGCAUCUGUGUGGGGCACACACACGGCCUUGGGCGGGAGCUGAGCGCUUCCGUCCGCACACACGCCCCGGCCUGGCACAGAAGCGAUGACCUGGCAGGCCGGGAGCCCGCAGAACGGCCCCAGAAGGAGCGUGGGCUGCUUGGUCGGCGGUAGAGCGCCGGGGAACAGCGGCGAAAGCACGUAAAACCCGGCCCAGUUGACGUGCAAGUCCUUCCAUGCGUGGAAGCGGUUCAUCGAGUGGUACAGGACAGCACUCACGUUGGCCAGGUUCGUGACCCAGCUGCGCUGCCCAUCGAGCAGGCCGGCCACUUGCAUGCCGACAUACUCGUAGAACUGCGACUUGGUUUGAAUGUCCGAUGGGAUCGCCGCGGCGUCAGCGCUGCGUGUCAGCGUUGUCUACCAGCGCCACGUACUGCACCAU